GAUCCGGUAGCUCAGUCGGUAGAGCACGUGACUUUUAAUCAUGUGGUCGUGGGUUCGAGUCCCACCCGGAUCACCA
rnacentral:tRNA from 2 species